rnacentral:rRNA from 1 species
AUGACAAGGAGAGUUCAAGAAAACAGAGAUAAAUCUGAGAAGUGGACUAAUAAUCCAAUUUGCCCAAACAUAUUCAAAAAACUUAAGGUCAACAUCAAAUUAACUCAGUUCUGUGAUGUGCUUUGGAAUGGGAAAGAAGGAUUUGAGGUUAAACAUGUUAGUGGAAGAGGAAGGACCUACACUGUCAAUUUAGAUAAGAGAACAUGCUCCUGUGGGUAUCUACAGCUGGCAGGUCUACCUUGCUGCCAUGCUAUCAGUGUUAUUUAUAAGAGUGGCAGAAGAAUUGAAGAGUUCAUUGACAAGUGCUAUUCAGUUGACCAAUUCAAGAAAAUAUAUGAGCACUGCUUGGAGCCAGUUGAAGGUGAGGAAAGGUGGCCUAUUUCUCAGAAUCCUAGACCACAAGCUCCAGGUUAUGUGAGCAUGCCCGGUAGACCUAGGAAAAAUGAUAGGAGGAGGGAAGAGGGAGAAGCACCAAAAGGAAAGAAGAUGUCAAGACAUGGGAUUAAAAUUACUUGUAGUAUGUGUGGGAAUAAAGAUCACAAUAAGUCAGGUUGCCACAAAAAUCCAGAAAAAGGCAAGAAAAAGAAUGCCUUUCUGAGAAAACCAGGGAGGAAAAUGAAGACCUCUGAGGUAUAUAAUUUUGCAUUUCUACUAUUUCAUAUACUACUGCAUUUCUUCAGUUUCAUAUAA